UCCAUCUCAACCAGGUGCGGUCGCGGCCUCCGGGGGUUCUCUCCCGGGUGGUAAGGGUAACACCUUCACGCGCCGCAUUUCUGAACCCUUUUUAUACGAGCACCUUCGUUCUCCUUCGGUGGGGCAACCUGCCGUUGGAACCAAACAAAACCUUUUUUGCAUCUAGCAUUACCUGUUCUGAUACAAAUAAUCGUUA
rnacentral:misc_RNA from 1 species